CGGUAAGGUAAGUUCCUGGUAAAAUCGGGCAGCUCAACUGUCCGUAUGCUAGGAAUACUGCUAUGCUAGAGGGCGGGAGAGGUCUGAGGUACUACAGGGGUAGGGGUGAAAUCUUAUAAUCCUUGUAGGACCACCAGUGGCGAAAGCGUCAGACUGGAACGCGCCUGACGGUGAGGGACGAAAGCCAGGGGAGCGAACCGGAUUAGAUACCCGGGUAGUCCUGGCCGUAAACGAUGCAUACUAGGUUAUGGUGCGGCCAUGAGCCGUAUCAGAGCCGAAGGGAAACCGUUAAGUGUGCCGCCUGGGAA
rnacentral:rRNA from 1 species